UACAGAGACUGCAAGCGUUAUUCGGAUUCACUGGGCGUAAAGGGUGCGCAGGUGGCCGUGUGUGUCAGAUGUGAAAUCCCGGGGCUUAACUCCGGAACUGCGUCUGAAACUACACGGCUAGAGCAUUGGAGAGGGUAGUGGAAUUCACGGUGUAGCAGUGAAAUGCGUAGAUAUCGUGAGGAACACCAGAGGCGAAGGCGACUACCUGGACAAUAGCUGACACUCAGGCACGAAAGCGUGGGGAGCAAAAGGG
rnacentral:rRNA from 1 species